rnacentral:misc_RNA from 1 species
GUCACACCAUAACCGUUUCCUCGUCUGGGAGCUUGUACACCUAUGGGUGGAGCAAGUAUGGCCAACUAGGGCAUGGGAAUUUUGAGGAUCAACUUGUUCCAUAUCAAGUGGAAGCCCUGAAAGAUAGCUACAUCUCACAGAUAUCAGGUGGAUGGAGGCACAGUAUGGCACUAACAUCUGAUGGAAAACUUUAUAGCUGGGGAUGGAA